AGCGAACGCUGGCGGCAGGCCUAACACAUGCAAGUCGAACGAAGUCUUCGGACUUAGUGGCGGACGGGUGAGUAACACGUGGGAACGUGCCUUUAGGUUCGGAAUAACUCAGGGAAACUUGUGCUAAUACCGAAUGUGCCCUUCGGGGGAAAGAUUUAUCGCCUUUAGAGCGGCCCGCGUCUGAUUAGCUAGUUGGUGAGGUAAAGGCUCACCAAGGCGACGAUCAGUAGCUGGUCUGAGAGGAUGAUCAGCAACAUUGGGACUGAGACACGGCCCAAACUCCUACGGGAGGCAGCAGUGGGGAAUCUUGCGCAAUGGGCGAAGGCCUGACGCAGCCAUGCCGCGUGAAUGAUGAAGGUCUUAGGAUUGUAAAAUUCUUUCACCGGGGACGAUAAUGACGGUACCCGGAGAAGAAGCCCCGGCUAACUUCGUGCCAGCCGCCGCAGUAAAAC
rnacentral:rRNA from 1 species